GGGUAUAGCUCAGUGGUGGAGUGUAUGCUUAGUGUGCACGAGGUCCUGGGUUCAAUCCUCAGUAUAUCCA
rnacentral:tRNA from 1 species